rnacentral:tRNA from 2 species
GCGGGAGUAACUCAGUUGGUAGAGUGCCUGCCUUCCAAGCAGAAUGUCGCGGGUUCGAGUCCCGUCUCCCGCUC